UCCCUGGUGGCUCAGAUGGUAAAGCGUCUGCCUGCAAUGCGGGAGACCUGGGUUCGAUUCCUGGGUCGGGAA
rnacentral:tRNA from 1 species